UAGGGAAUCUUCUNNAAUGGACGGAAGUCUGACCGAGCAACGCCGCGUGAGUGAAGAAGGUUUUCGGAUCGUAAAGCUCUGUUGUAAGAGAAGAACGAGUGUGAGAGUGGAAAGUUCACACUGUGACGGUAUCUUACCAGAAAGGGACGGCUAACUACGUGCCAACAGCCGCGGUAAUACGUAGGUCCCGAGCGUUGUCCGGAUUUAUUGGGCGUAAAGCGAGCGCAGGCGGUUAGAUAAGUCUGAAGUUAAAGGCUGUGGCUUAACCAUAGUACGCUUUGGAAACUGUUUAACUUGAGUGCAAGAGGGGAGAGUGGAAUUCCAUGUGUAGCGGUGAAAUGCGUAGAUAUAUGGAGGAACACCGGUGGCGAAAGCGGCUCUCUGGCUUGUAACUGACGCUGAGGCUCGAAAGCGUGGGGAGCAAACAGGAUUAGAUACCCUGGUAGUCCACGCCGUAAACGAUGAGUGCUUAGGUGUUAGACCCUUUCCGGGGUUUAGUGCCGUAGCUAACGCAUUAAGCACUCCGCCUGGGGAGUACGACCCGCAAGGUUG
rnacentral:rRNA from 1 species